UCAUAUUUAGAGACAUAAAUAGAAAUAAAAAUCCUCAGAGAUAAUAGUGUAACAAAGGUUUAAUCCUUUAACGCUUUUUUUCACUUCAAAUCAAUCCUCAAUUCGCAUAAACCGAACCUGUGGGUUCCUUUCACUUACUUCGGCAGAAGGCCAUCUUAAUACUAUUCAGAUGAGUACUUAACAGAUCAACACGAUGUAACGCAAUAGUACAUCAAUCAUAUUUGAUGUCACAUGCUUUUACAAUCAAGUAAAAUAGCAAACAAUGUCAUGCAUCAUAACAACCAGUU
rnacentral:lncRNA from 1 species